UGAUCUCAAUUCACUUUCCGAGCACACUUGGUUUUCUUUUGAUAUGUUCUGAAGCUAGGAGCGGCAAACGAUUUUCUUCCCAUGUCAGCUUGUAGAUUUCUUUUUUCUUGAUUUUUCUCUCUCUUACUCAAGUUCGAGGGUCUUGGCUUGACACAUAAUCCCAAAUCUCCAACUCAAAGUUUAAUUUUUAUCCACAAAUAUCAUAUACCUUUUCAAUUUUUCUUGGUUAUUUAUCGGAUGAAAAGCCCAGAAUUUUCUUGUGAGAAAUCUCUCCAAUUCAUUUGGAAUCUCACUUUAUUUUUCUGAGAUGUCCCAGUUUGGCUACUUUUUUUUUGAUGAACUGGGAGGAUUAAUCGCCCAAUUUAUUCAUCGAAAAGACCUGAUGAAGGGAAAACAAAUUAAAGUCUGAGGAAGUGAGUCGGAGUAGUCCUGAGCGGAUUCACCAUUUGAGGGCAUAUUCUAAGCUCCGGCAGGGAGUUCCGUUCUUCCAAGAGUGCAAAGUUGAUUUCCAUUGUUUUAGUGGAAGAAUUUGCCUCGAAUUUGAAGAUCCUAUCGCUUCCAAUAGUUCUUAUCUAUAUGAUGAUUCUACGAUAUUUUGAAAGAUUAGUGAUUUGAGUUUAUUUUUGUGAAUUUCUGAAGUAAGACCCAUGAAUCACAUGUGCUAUCACUAUCAAUCGCAUGGACGGAAUGAUAUAUAAAUAAUAAACACCAUGGACUUCAAUUCCUGCAUCUCAAACUAUAAAUCACAUGAGGUCUUUGGAAUCUGUCGUCUGCGCAUCACUUAGUUUAUUUUUUGGAUUUUGUUUGUUGCUUCAUCUCUUCAAUGAGUUGUUAUGAGUAGCUUCUGACCUUCCUUUUCUGAGGGAAAUUCCUCAAGGACGAUUUGAUAUUAUUCUCUGUCACUUUCUCUUCUUCAGAUUCUAGUGUUGUUUCUAGUUGAACUAAUUUAUCUGGGAGUAUGGAUAUUUUUUACUGAUAUUUUUAGUAGUUCCACCAAAUUAUAUUUUUGCUAACUGAACAUGGCUUUCAAAGAAUUUUAUUGGCACUUCUCCUGGUCUUCUCUUUUCGACAAUGGAACCAAACGUGAACAGAUCCUCGCUCUUGGGUAUUCUCAUCAAACCUCCUCUCCUCCCCAACUUUGGGGUUUCCUUCGUUUACUUAGUCUUCUAUAUUUUGUGUUUUAUUCUGAACCAAGGUUCAGGUCAUGAUGCGUACAGAUUGUACGUUUAUGUCUCUUGAUUACAUCCUUAUAGAAUAAUAUUGGGCAACCAUGUAAGCAUGUUACUAGU